UUGCAACUAGCUCCCACGGAAGCCUGCACCAUUGGUAAAAAUAACACCACCCUUUAAGUAGGAAGGGUGUUAAGUAGGAUUUGGAGCAAUGAAUAGAUAACUUUGAGGGAUGUGGCCACUAAUAAGAAGCAAGGUGUUCUCCUGCUGCUUAGUGAACAGUUUACUUUGUCUUCUGCAUUUCUGGCUACCACACAGGCCCAGAAGCAAUGGAGCCAAUUGAUCAUGAACUGAAACAUCCAAAAUUGCAAGGCAUUAUCAUCACCCACUUUGAGAUGAGGAAACUGAAGCUUCUUCUCUGAACAUUCCCUCCACUGAUUUGUUUUCAGAGUCUGCCGCCCUCUGAGGCUGCUAAAGCUGCUGAGUGGAGGUUGGAUUCCCUCUCACACCAAAGUUCUUCAGGGUCAGCAAGCGGUGGCUUAUUCAGGUCAGCGUUUGAAUGCAGGUUUACCACACGCUAUGCCUGGAAUGAAUCAUGCUCCCACUUCCCCCUCAGGUAUGCCUGCACUAGUCGUGGAGUGCUCUCGGUUUAUUUUUCCCAUCUUUCAAAUGGGGAAAACAGAGCUGGGGUUGUGGCUCAGUGGUGGAGCACUUACAUCGCAUGCAUGAGGCACUGGGUUCGAUCCUCGGGACCACAUUAAAAAAAUAAAUAAAUAAAACAAAGAUACUGUGGCCAUCUACAAC